rnacentral:rRNA from 1 species
CGUGCCUAACACAUGCAAGUCGAGCGGGGACAGUGGAAGUAGCAAUACGGAAAUGUCUAGCGGCGGACGGGUGAGUAACGCGUGAGCAACCUGUCCCAGUCAGGGGGAUAACGAGCCGAAAGGCUCCCUAAUACCGCAUGAGACCACAGCAUCACAUGGUGCAGGGGUCAAAGGAGAGAUCCGGACUGGGGUGGGCUCGCGUCUGAUUAGCUAGUUGGUGAGGUAAAGGCCCACCAAGGCGACGAUCAGUAGCCGACCUGAGAGGGUGAUCGGCCACAUUGGAACUGAGACACGGUCCAAACUCCUACGGGAGGCAGCAGUGGGGAAUAUUGGGCAAUGGGGGAAACCCUUGACCCAGCAACGCCGCGUGAAGGAAGAAGGUCUUCGGAUCGUAAACUUCUAUCCUUGGUGAAGAUAAUGACGGUAGCCGAGAAGGAAGCCCCGGCUAACUACGUGCCAGCAGCGGC